GACGAACGCUGGCGGCGUGCUUAACACAUGCAAGUCGAACGGAAAGGCCCUGCUUGCAGGGUACUCGAGUGGCGAACGGGUGAGUAACACGUGGGUGAUCUGCCCUGCACUUCGGGAUAAGCCUGGGAAACUGGGUCUAAUACCGGAUAGGAGCCAUUUUUAGUGUGAUGGUUGGAAAGUUUUUUCGGUGUAGGAUGAGCUCGCGGCCUAUCAGCUUGUUGGUGGGGUAAUGGCCUACCAAGGCGGCGACGGGUAGCCGGCCUGAGAGGGUGGACGGCCACAUUGGGACUGAGAUACGGCCCAGACUCCUACGGGAGGCAGCAGUGGGGAAUAUUGCACAAUGGGCGCAAGCCUGAUGCAGCGACGCCGCGUGGGGGAUGACGGCCUUCGGGUUGUAAACUCCUUUCGCUAGGGACGAAGCUUUUUGUGACGGUACCUAGAUAAGAAGCACCGGCUAACUUCGU
rnacentral:rRNA from 1 species